AUUAGGAAAGAGUGGAGGUGCGUGUCUGCCCAGUCUUAGGACUGACGACCUUAUGAUGAUGAUGAACAUUUUAUGAUAUAUGUUUUAACUCCAAAAUCCAAAUGUUGCUUGUUUGACUUGUUUGGACUUCAGGUUAUCUAAUAGGGGGUUUGUAUUUUUCUUGUAAAACCUGCCUAUUGAGAUAUUAAAAGAAAUUACUUGGUCCGUGUAGGCUGUAGCACCUGAUAUCGAAAUAGAAUCAACAUCAAAUCUUGUUGUCAAUAAUGCCUAGAUUGAUAUCGCACGUGUAAUAGAUACUCACACCUGUAGGUAAUACAGUUCCCUACUUAGGAGAGAUGAUGAUGGAAUGCAAUAAUACACAAAGGAAGUAUAACAAUUGAGCUGUUUAAUUUGAUGAAAAAGUGAUUAAGUGUUUUUUGUACCAAACUUUUAUUAAUAGCUUUAUUAUAUUUUGAUCUAAUAGUAAGUACUAUCUAGCUAAUAAACACGUCAUUCAUUCUUAAUAUUACUUUCAACGUAAGAAACUCGCAUUCCUGCCUAUGAAACAAUUUUACACCAUAGUGAGAUACCGUUUACAAUUAUUUAUAAACUACUGAUUGAAAUACAAAUGAUUGAUACUCCUUUACGGCAGACUAGAUAUUAUAAGAACUAAUAAAUCAAAAAAAUAUUGCCGUCUGAUUUCAAAAUAAUGAUUUAAGUCGAUACCUUACUAAAAGUGAGAUUUGUAAACAAACAAGUUGUUUUUAAAUAUGAGCACAACUGUGAAAUAUUACAUUUUCUUUCCUUUGUUUUCAUUCGACUGAUAACAUGAUAAAAGCAUAUGCAUAGUGAAAAUCUAAAAAAAAAAAACAGUUGGUGUUUUCCACGAUAGGAUCUUUUUAACUAUUUAACGAUAAUAGAGUCGAAGAUUGAGAUAUUUCGGAAUACGUCACAAGCAGCAUCGGAAAUGGUAUCUUCGGUCUUAUCGUUGGUUUCCUGUUCAUCGCUGUUCUGUUUUAAGUAGGAGUGCGUAUUUUAACUUCUAAAAUUUGAAAAAAAUAAUGCUUUUGCAAGACGCGCGGAAGUUACCACAAUUUAAGCCAUUUGAGCCAAAUUACCCGGGAUUUUUUUUAUUUUCGCUAUUUUCUGGAAGAGUAAUAACAGUUAUAGUUUGAGUUUAAUGAAUGUAUUAAUUAUGUGUAGGUAAUAUGACUAGAAGACGUAAAUUAGCGAAUAGCAGGUAGGAGGUUCAUGGAAAUUUUAAUUUACAAACCGUUUAUACCUACAUUGCUAUGCCUACCUACAUAUGUAUGCAUUUUAAUUAAACCUGGUGGUAGUUAUACGUAAAUAGUUUAUUAUUUAUCAGUACACAACAGAAGCACUUGUUUUUUGCUUACAAUUAUAAAAGAAAUGCAAUGUGCAUGAGUGUACAUUACCGUUUAUCGAAGGUUGUAACUAUAAUUGAUAUUAAAUUUCAAUCAGAGUGACUAACAAGCAAAACUGCAUCUUUGUGAGGAAUUGGGAAUAUUUUUAAAAAAGAAAUUAAAAUAACCGGUAAAUUUUACUAUAUAUUUUAACUGUUGUAUCUUAUAUCUAGCCACAGUAAAGAUUAAUUGGUCGUUUUUUUGCUAAUUUAAAGUA
rnacentral:lncRNA from 1 species